rnacentral:misc_RNA from 1 species
UUUGGGACUCAACCAUUAAAGAAAAUAGGUUCCUAACUAACUAUCCUAAUAAACUGAGGUACAUGUAUAUGGAUUUGUGCAAAUGUAUGUUUUAUACCCUUUAUACCAAUAAUUAUUUUGACUUUUAAAUUCAACUUACCUGUAUGAUAAUAUUGUUUAACUUCUUUUUUACUUCUCAAACGAAUGAGACCUUUGGUCUAUAUGAUGAUGAUGUUGAAGAUGAUGAUAACGCUCUCUUUCUGAAGGUUUUAAAAAGGGGAAAUCCACAUACAUGUCUUUAUUUUAUGUUCAUCUUUUUUUUAUAAUUAGUUAUAUCUAUAUACUUUGGUUAUAUACGAGCAUAUUGUUUGUAGCAAAUGUAAAUACCGUUAUCCUAAGACCUUGGCUGAUUUUUCAGUGUUUUUUGUCAUUGUUAUACCGGUAUCAUCUCUUUUUUAACCGCCUUUAUAGCUAGUAUAUUUAACAAUGUGAUCAACUAUUAUGUACGAUGGACUUUUUGAUAUAGUACGUACUGCUGUUUUGGUGCUAUAUAACAGUUGAUAAUUUCAUCGAGUAUAGUUAUUCCAUUCUAGUUAUGAGAUAUAAACACAUUUAGUACCAACAGUAAUAUUGGUUGGUUAGCAUUAUAUAAGACAUCAAAAUGUGAUAUAAUCUACUUUGUUUAGCGAAAAUGUUUAUACUGUUAUGUUUUUGAUGUUUUUAUUAUUGUAUUCAGACUUAUGCAUAAUAUCUUCAUGAAACGCGUUGAAUUAUUUUUUUAAACAAUAAAAUAUUGAAAUCC